rnacentral:tRNA from 1 species
UGGCUCAGCGGUUAAGAGCACUGAACUGCUCUUCCAGAGGUCCUGAGUUCAAUUCCCAG